rnacentral:rRNA from 1 species
AAGUCGAACGAAGUAGCAAUACUUAGUGGCAGACGGGUGAGUAACAUCGUAGGUAUCUGCCCUUUGGCCUGGAAUAACACGAGGAAACUUGUGCUAAUACCGGAUAAGUCUUUACGGAGAAAGCUUUAUGCACCAUUGGAUGAGCCUGCACUUGAUUAGUUUGUUGGUGGGGUAAUGGCCUACCAAGACUGUGAUCAAUAGCUGAUUUGAGAGGAUGAUCAGCCACAUUGGGACUGAGACACGGCCCAAACUCCUACGGGAGGCAGCAGUGGGGAAUCUUGCACAAUGGAGGAAACUCUGAUGCAGCGAUGCCGCGUGAGUGAAGAAGGCCCUUGGGUUGUAAAGCUCUUUCGUCGGGGAAGAAAAUGACUGUACCCGAAUAAGAAGGUCCGGCUAACUUCGUGCCAGCAGCCGCGGUAAUACGAAGGGACCUAGCGUAGUUCGGAAUUACUGGGCUUAAAGAGUUCGUAGGUGGUUGAAAAAGUUGGUGGUGAAAUCCCAGAGCUUAACUCUGGAACUGCCAUCAAAACUUUUCAGCUAGAGUUUGAUAGAGGAAAGCAGAAUUUCUAGUGUAGAGGUGAAAUUCGUAGAUAUUAGAAAGAAUACCAAUUGCGAAGGCAGCUUUCUGGAUCAUUACUGACACUGAGGAACGAAAGCAUGGGUAGCGAAGAGGAUUAGAUACCCUCGUAGUCCAUGCCGUAAACGAUGUGUGUUAGACGUUGGAAAUUUAUUUUCAGUGUCGCAGCGAAAGCAAUAAACACACCGCCUGGGGAGUACGACCGCAAGGUUAAGACUCAAAUGAAUUGACGGGGACCCGCACAAGUAGUGGAGCAUGUGGUUUAAUUCGAAGAUACGCGCAGACCUUACCACACUUGACAUGUUCGUCGCGACUUUAAGAGAUUAAAGUUUUCGGUUCGGCCGGACGAAACACAGUGCUGCAUGCUGUCGUCAGCUC